GUGCCAGCAGCCGCGGUAAUACGUAGGUGGCAAGCGUUGUCCGGAUUUAUUGGGCGUAAAGCGAGCGCAGGCGGUUUCUUAAGUCUGAUGUGAAAGCCUUCGGCUCAACCGAAGAAGUGCAUCGGAAACUGGGAAACUUGAGUGCAGAAGAGGACAGUGGAACUCCAUGUGUAGCGGUGAAAUGCGUAGAUAUAUGGAAGAACACCAGUGGCGAAGGCGGCUGUCUGGUCUGUAACUGACGCUGAGGCUCGAAAGCAUGGGUAGCAAACAGGAUUAGAUACCCUGGUAGUCCAUGCUGUAAACGAUGAGUGCUAGGUGUUGGAGGGUUUCCGCCCUUCAGUGCCGCAGCUAACGCAUUAAGCACUCCGCCUGGGGAGUACGACCGCAAGGUUGAAACUCAAAGGAAUUGACGGGGGCCCGCACAAGCGGUGGAGCAUGUGGUUUAAUUCGAAGCAACGCGAAGAACCUUACCAGGUCUUGACAUCCUUUGACCACUCUAGAGAUAGAGCUUUCCCUUCGGGGACAAAGUGACAGGUGGUGCAUGGUUGUCGUCAGCUCGUGUCGUGAGAUGUUGGGUUAAGUCCCGCAACGAGCGCAACCCUUAUUACUAGUUGCCAGCAUUUAGUUGGGCACUCUAGUGAGACUGCCGGUGACAAACCGGAGGAAGGUGGGGACGACGUCAAAUCAUCAUGCCCCUUAUGACCUGGGCUACACACGUGCUACAAUGGAUGGUACAACGAGUUGCGAGACCGCGAGGUUUAGCUAAUCUCUUAAAAUCAUUCUCAGUUCGGAUUGUAGGCUGCAACUCGCCUACAUGAAGCCGGAAUCGCUAGUAAUCGCGGAUCAGCAUGCCGCGGUGAAUACGUUCCCGGGCCUUGUACACACCGCCCGU
rnacentral:rRNA from 1 species